UAUUCCCUGCCCUACAGGUACUUGAAGGGCACAUCCCAGAGCAUUCCUUUAGGGGCAUUUAUAGGGCAUUCCCUGUGGGAUGCUUAUAGGUUUAUCCCUGACCCUACAGAUACUUUUAGGGCACAUCCCAGAGCACUCUUUUAGGAACAUUUAUGGGGUUUUUUUUAGGAACAUUUGUAGGUUUAUUCCCUAGAGGAACUUGUAGGGCACACAUGGGAUACCCCAGAUCAUUCCUUUAGGAACCUUUAUGGGUUUUUUAGGAAUAUUUAUGGGGUUUUUAGGGCCAUUUACAGGUGUGUCCCCUAGAAGAACUUGUAGGGCACAUCCCAGAGCACUCUUUUAGGAACAUUUAUGGGUUUUUAGGAACAUUUACAGGUGUGUCCCCUAGAGGAACUUGUAGGGCACAUCCCAGAGCACUCUUUUAGGAACAUUUAUGGGGUUUUUAGGGCCAUUUACAGGUGUGUCCCCUAGAGGAACUUGUAGGGCACAUCCCAGAGCACUCUUUUAGGAACAUUUAUGGGUUUUUAGGAACAUUUACAGGUGUGUCCCCUAGAGGAACUUGUAGGGCACACUGGGGAUAUCCAGAUCAUUCCUUUAGGAACAUUUAUGGGUUUUUAAGGAACAUUUAUGGGUUUUUAGGGCCAUUUACAGGGGUGUCCCCUAGAGGAACUUGUAGGGCACAUCCCAGAGCACUCUUUUAGGAACAUUUAUGGGUUUUUAGGAACAUUUAUGGGUUUUUAGGAACAUUUACAGGUGUGUCCCCUAGAGGAACUUGUAGGGCACACAGGGGAUACCCCAGAUCAUUCCUUUAGCAACAUUUAUGGGUUUUUUAGGAACAUUUAUGGGUUUUUAGGGCCAUUUACAGGGGUGUCCCCUAGAGGAACUUGUAGGGCACAUCCCAGAGCACUCUUUUAGGAACAUUUAUGGGUUUUUAGGAACAUUUAUGGGUUUUUAGGGCCAUUUACAGGUGUGUCCCCUAGAGGAACUUGUAGGGCACACAGGGGAUACCCCAGAUCAUUCCUUUAGCAACAUUUAUGGGUUUUUAGGAACAUUUAUGGGUUUUUAGGAACAUUUACAGGUGUGUCCCCUAGAGGAACUUGUAGGGCACAUCCCAGAGCACUCUUUUAGGAACAUUUAUGGGUUUUUAGGGCCAUGUACAGGUGUGUCCCCUAGAGGAACUUGUAGGGCACACAGGGGAUAUCCAGAUCAUUCCUUUAGGAACAUUUAUGGGUUUUUUAGGAACAUUUAUGGGUUUUUAGGGCCAUUUACAGGUGUGUCCCCUAGAGGAACUUGUAGGGCACGCGGGCGGGCAGGGUCUGCAGCUCCAGGCGCACGGGGCACUUGUAGAAGUGGCCCAGCAGGGUCUCGGCGUAGCCCAGCAGG